GAUGAACGCUGGCGGCGUGCCUAAUACAUGCAAGUCGAGCGAACAGACGAGGAGCUUGCUCCUCUGACGUUAGCGGCGGACGGGUGAGUAACACGUGGAUAACCUACCUAUAAGACUGGGAUAACUUCGGGAAACCGGAGCUAAUACCGGAUAAUAUAUUGAACCGCAUGGUUCAAUAGUGAAAGACGGUUUUGCUGUCACUUAUAGAUGGAUCCGCGCCGCAUUAGCUAGUUGGUAAGGUAACGGCUUACCAAGGCAACGAUGCGUAGCCGACCUGAGAGGGUGAUCGGCCACACUGGAUCUGAGACACGGUCCAGACUCCUACGGGAGGCAGCAGUAGGGAAUCUUCCGCAAUGGGCGAAAGCCUGACGGAGCAACGCCGCGUGAGUGAUGAAGGUCUUCGGAUCGUAAAACUCUGUUAUUAGGGAAGAACAAAUGUGUAAGUAACUAUGCACGUCUUGACGGUACCUAAUCUGAAAGCCACGGCUAACUACGUG
rnacentral:rRNA from 1 species